rnacentral:pre_miRNA from 1 species
UAUUAGGAUGGUGCAAACAUAAUUGCAGCUUUUGCCAUUUAAAAGUAAUGGCAAAAGCUGCAAUUAUGUUUGCACCAACCUAAUA